rnacentral:rRNA from 1 species
UGUGCCUACGGGGCGCAGCAGUGAGGAAUAUUGGUCAAUGGGCGGGAGCCUGAACCAGCCAAGCCGCGUGAGGGAAGAAGGUACAGCAUAUCGUAAACCUCUUUUGUCAGGGAACAAAGGCGGGGACUAGUCCCCGGAUGAGGGUACCUGAAGAAAAAGCAUCGGCUAACUCCGUGCCAGCAGCCGCGGUAAUACGGAGGAUGCGAGCGUUAUCCGGAUUUAUUGGGUUUAAAGGGUGCGUAGGCGGUCCGUUAAGUCAGCGGUAAAAUUGCGGGGCUCAACCCCGUCGAGCCGUUGAAACUGGG